rnacentral:rRNA from 1 species
GGAAAGAUGAAAAGAACUUUGAAAAGAGAGUUAAACAGUACGUGAAAUUGUUGAAAGGGAAACGAUUGAAGUCAGUCGUACCGGCGGGUAAUCAGCCUUUUGAGCGUGAUUAUGUGGAGCGUGAGGAGUUAAACGCCUUCAUGCCUUCAUAUUCGUGCACUUUGGGUGUACUUGCUCGUGUGGUAGGUUAACAUCAAUUUCGAUCAUCAUAAAAUGGUUGGAGGAAUGUAGCUUCGAUCUCGUAUUGAAGUGUUAUAGCCUUUAGCAGAUGUGAUGAUUGGGGAUUGAGGAUUGCAACGGAUACCCUUCGGGGCUACCCGUCUGAUCUCUGAAAGUUACUCUGGUACCGAAAGCUUGCUUACGGAAUCAAAGUUGACGUUCAACAGGUUAGAACGGGUUAAAUUCGUUAAGGAUGUUGACGUAAUGGCUUUAAACGACCCGUCUUGAAACACGGACCA